ACCUAGCUGGCUCAAUCGGUAGAGCAUGAGACUCUUGAUCUCAGGGUUGUAAGUUCGCUCCCCACUGUGGGUA
rnacentral:tRNA from 1 species